CCUGCUGGAGCUAAUGGGCUAACCCAGUGCUUCCUCUCUCCACCCCCGCUGCAGAGGGACAGAUGGUACAUACUGUUGGUGCUGCUCUAACUGCUCUGUCAUUGAUUCAGUAGUAACACAGUCGUCAGUCCACAGCCUGCCUGCCUGCAGAGAGAGAGCCAAAACAGGAAGAGAGAAAGAGAGGACACAAGGAGAGAAGAAAAGAGAGUGAUUGUGAGAGAGAGAAGCAGGGAAAGCGUCCAGCCAUCUUUCUGUCUCCAGUCUGAAAGCCACAGACGCCCUCUUUGUUUGGCGUCCCUGAUAUGACCCUGUUCAAAAGUGAGCACCACCGCAGCCCACGAUACAUUAGCAUGAGUGGAGAGCUGAAGUCCAGCCGUUCCAGGACCAGCAGCAAGAGACCCAGCAGCAAUCCAUACGGGGAGCUCCAGGGAUCCCCCCAAGGAUGGAAAUCACCCUGGUGUAUCGUUUGUGGUUAUAGCAGGAAUGUUCCGCCCACACCCUGCCCUUCAGGUGCCUUUAAUCUGCAUCACACCUCCCUCUUUCUGCUCUCUACCACACCCUCUCUGUCUGACCAGCCCUGUCCCCUAACCCCUAACACUAGAUUCAAGUCCACAUCCCAGUUCAACCCUAGCCUCAACCACAACUCUAACCGUAACCGUAGCUUCUUGUCCAACUCCCCGUGCAACCUUAACCCUCAACCAAAACCCUAACCCUAGCUUCAUGUCCACAUCCUGGAUUCAACCCUAACCCUCAACCCGCUGUCCUCUCAUACCAAAGGAGUCCCUUUUCUUCCCAUGCCCACCCCCUCCCACACUACCCCAGUCCCCUCCCCCCUACACAUGUCACCCUCACCUCUCUCCAACAGAGUGGUCUCCAUUGAUUUGGACAAGACAUGUAACACACCUGGGAUAACAGACAUAGACAUGGCUUUGAACACAGCAAAGGCACACUUCAGUGAUGGAAUGUAGAAGA
rnacentral:lncRNA from 13 species